rnacentral:rRNA from 1 species
AUUGAACGCUGGCGGCAUGCCUUAUACAUGCAAGUCGAACGGUAACGCGGGGCAACCUGGCGACGAGUGGCGAACGGGUGAGUAAUAUAUCGGAACGUGCCCAGUAGUGGGGGAUAGCCCGGCGAAAGCCGGAUUAAUACCGCAUGAGACCUGAGGGUGAAAGCGGGGGAUCGCAAGACCUCGCGCUAUUGGAGCGGCCGAUGUCAGAUUAGUUAGUUGGUGAGGUAAGAGCUCACCAAGGCGAUGAUAGAUAGGCGGCCUUAACGGGUGGUCGCCCACACUGGGAUUGAGAUACGGCCCAGGACUCCUACGGGAGGCAGCAGUCGAGAAUAGUCUACAAUGGCCGGAAGGCUGAUAGUGCGACGCCGCGUGAACGAGGGACCCUUCGGGGUUAAAGUUCUUUUCUAUACGAGCAGUGCUAUAUAUAUGGAUAGUAUAUAUAGGGGAUAGUAGUAUAGGAUAAGCAACGGUAACUCCGUGCCAGCA